rnacentral:rRNA from 1 species
CCUACGGGAGGCAGCAGUGGGGAAUAUUGGACAAUGGGCGCAAGCCUGAUCCAGCCAUGCCGCGUGGGUGAUGAAGGCCUUAGGGUUGUAAAGCCCUUUCGGCGGGGAAGCGGUACCCGCAGAAGAAGCCCCGGCUAACUUCGUGCCAGCAGCCGCGGUAAUACGAAGGGGGCUAGCGUUGCUCGGAAUCACUGGGCGUAAAGCGCACGUAGGCGGAUCUUUAAGUCGGGGGUGAAAUCCCGGGGCUCAACCCCGGAACUGCCUUCGAUACUGAGGAUCUUGAGUCCGGGAGAGGUGAGUGGAACUGCGAGUGUAGAGGUGAAAUUCGUAGAUAUUCGCAAGAACACCAGUGGCGAAGGCGGCUCACUGGCCCGGACUGACGCUGAGGUGCGAAAGCGUGGGGAGCAAACAGGAUUAAUACCCUUGUAGUC